GACCAAGGUUCGACUCGAGCGUAGCGAGAGAACGUUGCCGCAGGCAACGGCCCGAAGGGCGAGGAGCGAUAGCGACGAGUUAUCCUUCCCCCACCACCA
rnacentral:sRNA from 1 species